GACGAACCGUGCGAACGUUAUUCGGAAUCACUGGGCUUAAAGCGCGUGUAGGCGGGGCGGCACGUCGGUCGCUGAAAUCCCCCGGCUCAACCGGGGAACGGGCGCCGAUACGACCGCCCUCGAGGGACGUAGGGGGACCUGGAACUUCCGGUGGAGCGGUGAAAUGCGUUGAGAUCGGAAAGAACACCAACGGCGAAAGCACUCUGCUGGGCCGACACUGACACUGAGAGACGAAAGCUAGGGGAGCGAAUGGG
rnacentral:rRNA from 1 species